rnacentral:rRNA from 1 species
CCUACGGGGCGCAGCAGUGGGGAAUAUUGGACAAUGGGCGAAAGCCUGAUCCAGCCAUGCCGCGUGUGUGAAGAAGGCCUUCGGGUUGUAAAGCACUUUCAGUGGGGAAGAAAGCCUUGGGGCUAAUACCCUCGAGGAAGGACAUCACCCACAGAAGAAGCACCGGCUAACUCCGUGCCAGCAGCCGCGGUAAUACGGAGGGUGCGAGCGUUAAUCGGAAUUACUGGGCGUAAAGCGCGCGUAGGCGGUCUGAUAAGCCGGUUGUGAAAGCCCCGGGCUCAACCUGGGAACGGCAUCCGGAACUGUCAGGCUAGAGUGCAGGAGAGGAAGGUAGAAUUCCCGGUGUAGCGGUGAAAUGCGUAGAGAUCGGGAGGAAUACCAGUGGCGAAGGCGGCCUUCUGGACUGACACUGACGCUGAGGUGCGAAAGCGUGGGUAGCAAACAGGAUUAGAUACCCUAUAGUC